rnacentral:rRNA from 1 species
UACGUAGGGGGCAAGCGUUGUCCGGAUUUAUUGGGCGUAAAGAGCGUGUAGGCGGUCUGGUAGGUCCGUUGUGAAAACUCGAGGCUCAACCUCGAGACGCCGAUGGAAACCAUCAGACUAGAGUCCGGAAGAGGAGAGUGGAAUUCCUGGUGUAGCGGUGAAAUGCGCAGAUAUCAGGAGGAACACCGGUGGCGAAGGCGGGUCUCUGGGCCGAAAUUGACGCUGAGGAGCGAAAGCGUGGGGAGCAAACAGG